ensembl:lncRNA
GGAGCAGUUUCCCACAUCUCAGAUGACCAAUCAAACAGGUUGUUUAGAUACCUGACAGGUGUUGUGAUUAUGACUGCUGCCAAAAGUAUAUAGACAGAGCUUGGCCCAGGGCCAGUUUCAUUUGCAGUGUGAACAUGGAAGCACCUCGCCAAGUACAACAGCAACUUCCUGCUCGAGGAAGAGGAGGAGUGAGAAUGCGUGGAGGAAUAGGGGGAAGAGGCCGAGGAGCACGGAGGCACCAUGAUGUCCCAGAUGAAAUCCGGGCCACCCUUAUUGACCACGUUAUAAACCAUCGCCUCACAAUGGCAGAGGCAGGUCGCCGAGUGCAGCCUAAUGUGCCUCGGUCUACAGUCUCCUCCAUCAUCCAAACCUUUCGCAGGGCAAACAGGUUUGGACGACAGCCUCAAGUGGGUGGCAGAAGAAAACUUCUAAAUGAACAACAAGAACAAGAAAUAUGCAACAUGACCGGGUAUUGAAGAAACAUCAGAUGACCAUGAAACAGAUUUAAAGGGUACCAUUUGAGAGAAACUGUGACAGAGUACCAGUAUGUGCAUAGAAUAAUGACAUUAGAAGGCAACGAAACCCUCACAUCCUGGUGUUCAUUGAUGAAGCUGGCUUCAACCUGGCCAAAGGUCGAAGGCGUGGCCGUAACAUCAUUGGCCACCAAGCCACUGUGGAUGUCCCAGGCCAGCGAGGAGCAAAUAUAACAAUGUGUGCCGCUAUAUCAGAAAGAGGUGUGGCCACACACAUUCCCAGUUUAGGGCCCUACAAUACACAAAAGCUCCUCAAUUUUUUGGACCACCUUUAUGCUGAUCUGAUCCCAGAAAAUGAGAGAGGUGAAGAAGGACCUCAGCUACCACAUUAUGUCAUUGUGUGGGAUAAUGUGAACUUCCACCGCGGCCCACGCAUCAGAACCUGGUUCACCACCCAUCCCCGGAUGCUAAUGGAGUUUCUUCCACCUUACUCUCCUUUCCUAAAUCCAAUUGAGGAGUUUUUUUCAGCUUGGAGGUGGAGGGUGUAUGAGCAUCAGGCUCAAGACCAGAGGGCCCUGCUGCAUGCAAUGGAUGCUGCAUGUGAGGACAUCACAGCGGAUCAAUGUAGGGGAUGGUGAGACAUUCACGCCGUUUCUUCCCUCGCUGCAUCGCAAGAGAAAAUAUCCGUUGCGAUGUGGAUGAGAAUUUAUGGCCUGACAGAGAGCAGCGCGUCGAUGGCCAGGGGGAUGAGGAUGGUGGCCAGGAAAGAGAGGGUGACAAUGGCGACCACUGAAAAUAUUACUGUACUAUAGUUCUGAAAAUUUAUUUACAGUAUGGUAGGCUAGAGUUUGUUUUGGUUUUUUGUUUGUUUAUAACUGUUCACAUUUACAGAAUCCUG